rnacentral:rRNA from 1 species
GGUGAGUAACACGUGGGUAACCUGCCUGUAAGACUGGGAUAACUCCGGGAAACCGGGGCUAAUACCGGAUGGUUGUUUGAACCGCAUGGUUCAAACAUAAAAGGUGGCUUCGGCUACCACUUACAGAUGGACCCGCGGCGCAUUAGCUAGUUGGUGAGGUAAUGGCUCACCAAGGCAACGAUGCGUAGCCGACCUGAGAGGGUGAUCGGCCACACUGGGACUGAGACACGGCCCAGACUCCUACGGGAGGCAGCAGUAGGGAAUCUUCCGCAAUGGACGAAAGUCUGACGGAGCAACGCCGCGUGAGUGAUGAAGGUUUUCGGAUCGUAAAGCUCUGUUGUUAGGGAAGAACAAGUACCGUUCGAAUAGGGCGGUACCUUGACGGUACCUAACCAGAAAGCCACGGCUAACUACGUGCCAGCAGCCGCGGUAAUACGUAGGUGGCAAGCGUUGUCCGGAAUUAUUGGGCGUAAAGGGCUCGCAGGCGGUUUCUUAAGUCUGAUGUGAAAGCCCCCGGCUCAACCGGGGAGGGUCAUUGGAAACUGGGGAACUUGAGUGCAGAAGAGGAGAGUGGAAUUCCACGUGUAGCGGUGAAAUGCGUAGAGAUGUGGAGGAACACCAGUGGCGAAAGGCGACUCUCUGGUCUGUAACUGACGCUGAGGAGCGAAAGCGUGGGGAGCGAACAGGAUUAGAUACCCUGGUAGUCCACGCCGUAAACGAUGAGUGCUAAGUGUUAGGGGUUUCCGCCCCUUAGUGCUGCAGCUAACGCAUUAAGCACUCCGCCUGGGGAGUACGGUCGCAAGACUGAAACUCAAA